UACGGAGGGUGCAAGCGUUAUCCGGAUUCACUGGGUUUAAAGGGUGCGUAGGAGGGCAGGUAAGUCAGUGGUGAAAUCUCCAAACUUAACUUGGAAACUGCCGUUGAUACUAUCUGUCUUGAAUAUUGUGGAGGUGAGCGGAAUAUGUCAUGUAGCGGUGAAAUGCUUAGAUAUGACAUAGAACACCAAUUGCGAAGGCAGCUCACUACACAAUCAUUGACUCUGAGGCACGAAAGCGUGGGGAUCAAACAGG
rnacentral:rRNA from 1 species